UACGGAGGGUGCGAGCGUUGUCCGGAAUCACUGGGCGUAAAGGGCGCGUAGGCGGCGUCGUGAGUCCACGGUGAAAGCUCAGGGCUCAACCCUGAGUCGGCCGUCGAUACUGCGAGGCUUGAGCACUGUAGAGGCAGGUGGAAUUCCGGGUGUAGCGGUGGAAUGCGUAGAGAUCCGGAAGAACACCGGUGGCGAAGGCGGCCUGCUGGGCAGUAGCUGACGCUGAGGCGCGACAGCGUGGGGAGCAAACAGG
rnacentral:rRNA from 1 species